GACGAACGCUGGCGGCGUGCUUAACACAUGCAAGUCGAACGGAAAGGCCCUGCUUUUGUGGGGUGCUCGAGUGGCGAACGGGUGAGUCACACGUGAGUAACCUGCCCUUGACUUUGGGAUAACUUCAGGAAACUGGGGCUAAUACCGGAUAGGAGCUCCUGCUGCAUGGUGGGGGUUGGAAAGUUUCGGCGGUUGGGGAUGGACUCGCGGCUUAUCAGCUUGUUGGUGGGGUAGUGGCUUACCAAGGCUUUGACGGGUAGCCGGCCUGAGAGGGUGACCGGCCACAUUGGGACUGAGAUACGGCCCAGACUCCUACGGGAGGCAGAAGUGGGGAAUAUUGCACAAUGGGCGGAAGCCUGAUGCAGCAACGCCGCGUGCGGGAUGACGGCCUUCGGGUUGUAAACCGCUUUCGCCUGUGACGAAGCGUGAGUGACGGUAAUGGGUAAAGAAGCACCGGCUAACUACGUG
rnacentral:rRNA from 1 species